AACGGUCUAUACCUGCGGUACCUGCGGAAGGAUCAUUACAUGAUUUGAGGGGGCUCGCGUCCCCUCAUCCAACCCACAAACCCCGAGGAAACUUUAUGUCGAGUGGUUCGGCGCUCUCUUUGAGAGCCGCCCCUCAAACGCAUCGCAGGCUUUUCGUGAGGGUCUGAUGUGUCACAUCGUGAGUAUCAAAACUUUUAACAACGGAUCUCU
rnacentral:misc_RNA from 1 species